UUGCUGACAGAUCGAGGCGGGCUGAGUGCGCGAGCGGCCGGGGAGUAUUCCCGCGGGUCCUCCGGUUCCCUCCCCACCUCUCCGUUCCCGAAGCCCCCGGUAGUGGGCGGGGAGGGACGGGGGAGUCGUGGAAACUUCGCCCACCGCGCGCGGUCGCCGCGGUGCUGGCCGCGGGCUGGUGGCCGGCAGGCGGUGGCAGCAGCCUCACCGAACAGCUGAAACCCUAGACGGUUUUUUAACUGCGCGGGGCUGCUCGCGGUGCCUAUUAAACAUCCUCCUGGCUGGGUGUCAUUUUCUUGCUUCUCCUUUUGUAUUCUGAUCUGCGCAUAGAUCUGCUGCUGCUGAAAUCUAGAACACCAGCGCGAAAACAGAUUUGAAGACAAUGAAUGCAAAUCUGUGCUCAAAGACCAUCUGCCGUGGAGGAGACAAUCAGCUGUUCGUAGUUCGAGCGAUUGCGCCCCAGUCUCCCGGUCUCAUUACGGGGAGGGCAUUUGCGAGCGCCUGGACUGCGUUCAGGGCACUUUCUCCCCUCUUGGGUCUCAGAUUUGAGAGACCAGAUCCCUUAGGUGUAGGUGAGCGCUCGCAAAUGAACUGCUAGAGUUUGCCGCUAGAGGACACAGCGCCUUGCAACUGGUUUGCCUAGGCUGACAGGAAGCUUGCACUUCAAGAAAACUCGGCUCUCUCGAGAAAGGGACCGGUGCGCGCCUCCACCUCCCCAAGGGACAAACCGCGGCACCACGCUGCGUGCGCGGGAUUGCGACUAGGAAGUGCUGGUUUUACGGAGAAUUUCGGUCCCAGCAAAAACUGAUCACCUGGAGUCUUCUACGGUCUCUCUUUAUAAAUCUCUCCGAACCUCAAGCAACUCCCCCCCACCCCCUUCGUCUGGGGUCUGCGCCCAGCGGGGCCAAAGCCUUGAGUUCCUUGGCAGAGAGUGUGGAACAGCCGUGAGCCCUUCAAGACAUGCCUAUGAGCCCGGUGAUUUUUUUUUCAAGGGGGCUUUGAUCAGCUGUACCUCCACGUUGCCCCGGAAAGGUGCGCAGGGCACCCGGAGAGGCCUCUGGUCAGCAGUGGGCCUGGGCCAAGCCCCAACAGUUUACCCCUCAGGCUCAGGUUGGCUGGGGUUAAAGGGCAAAGUCAGGGUCGAGGGCACCAGCUUUUCUCGGCGGUAACAGCUGCCACCCAAAUUAUGCCCCCUCAGGAAGCGAAUGAAUUGUUCCUUUCUCCCAGCUCCCUGCUGCCCGCCCCAAAACAGACGGGGCCGCGCUCGGCGGGCGCCCCUCCUCCCAGCCAACCCCCCGAGACGCGCUCAGGGGCCUCGGUGCCCCGCUGGGAGGCAAUUUGGGGGAGCCGUGGUCCCGAACUUUGACAGAGUGGGGCUUCCCCACUACUUGCCGGCUGCGCUAAGGGCGCCCCCCGCGGCAGUGCUGCUGGGAGCUCCAGGGAUGGCUGUGUGGCUCGCUGCGGGCGUUGAAGUUCCCUGUUGGCCAGGCUGAAGUGCCUGCGCGAGCGUGAGGGGACAAGGACUGCCUUGGGCCCAGCGUGGCGGCGUUUCGGCCAACCCAGUUGGGGUUAAUUGCGUCUGUAUAGGUUUUGGGUAGGAAUGCUCGCGGAGUCCGCCACCCGCGCGAAACAUGCGUUGGUUGGGGGAAUGAGCAGCGGCGGCUGCGCCUGGAGGGUUGCUCCCACCUCUGUCGCCUCCAGCUACCCCCAAACAAACCUCCUUUUCGAUCUCGUGCAACACAAAACCUGCCCCGAGCUGUGCGGGGGCCUGGCAAGCGCAGCUGCGGCCCCGGGAAGCCCAAUCCCGCGGGACUGCGGAGCCCACGCGCUCCUCAGGCUCCGGCCAACUAGCUCGGUUCUGCCUCUAGCCCGGGUCAAGAAAAAUCCAAAAUGAACACUAUGAUUAAAAUUAUUCACAAUCUAUUUAUACAAAACUGGGGGUGUCUGUCUUUUACCCUGUCCCCUUCUUCAUUUAC
rnacentral:lncRNA from 1 species